AUCUCCACUGUGCAUUUGCAGGCUCUUGAGCAAUUUCUCCCAGGGAAGUAAAGACAGACAUCGUAUUAUAUGUGUUCUCCUUGGAGUAAAGAAAAUUUAAAUUAUUCACCUGGGUUACAGAUAUGGAUGGCCUUCCUUGCUGCAGAAAGAAUUUCCAGAUAGUGUCUUGGAGAAUGUAUCUGCACUUAUAAGUAUCUACUUCCUGAGAGAUGGUAAGUAAUCCACUCCAUUUUUUCCUCUCACUUACUUAUUAGACAUUUCACUGUAGAUAUCCUUUCG
rnacentral:lncRNA from 1 species